CUCGUCUCUCUCUUUCUCCAUGCCUCCGAUCUCCAGCCUCUCACUGCACCUCUCGCACGAUCGACUAUCGCCUUUAGCCUUUCCGAAUAAAUGGCCUUUGAAUCGAGCUCAUCCUCAUCUUCUAUGGUGGGUCAUUGGAAGUUGAGUGCCACCUCUGCUUGCUCGGGACGCCGCCUCCUUCGGUCCCAUCGCCCCCACUGGCCGGGGUGAAGAAGUUGAGCACGGACUAUGCUGGGCAUUCUUUCACUGAUGGUGGAGAGGUCAUGUGAGAAAGAUAGUCCUUUAUGCUAUUCUAUUUUUGUAUAGGUGCUUCACUUUAAGAAGUGCCAUAUACUUUUGUCAAGAAAAGUUCUGAGAGGAUUGGAUCUACAAACACUUCGAUGCUGCCAACAAAAAUGAAGAAGGCAGAGUUGAACAUAAAUGAAAAGGGUUUGAUAUCUGCUUUACCACACUUGAAUCCAUUCAAAUUGAAGAAAAGCAGUUGUAGUUGGUUUAUGAAUAAUAGCCUUGCUCAUUCUCUAUUUGCUGAGGGCGCGGUGCAAAACAGCUGAAGCAGCCAAUAUUGUGAACUAUUUUUGUUGUUCCUGUUCUUGACCUGAAUUUGGUUUUUCAAGUAUGCAAGGUGCACCAGAUCAGUCUCCAUCGGCAUGCGCUGUGUUGCACUAUCCCGAGUGCUAUGGUAUAAAUUUCUAUCCCGAGCCCGUUGCACUAUCCUGAGCGCUACGGUAUAAAUUCCUAUCUCAUAUUUUAAUUAUUUUGAGUUUUGAAAUUAUUUGCGAGUUAGGAAACUAAAAUGUAAUUGUGUAUGUUCAUAGUAGAUUGAGAGUUAAUUAGUAUAAUGAGUUGAGCUGUGAUUUUAUUGGACUUCUCUGGGAUUGUCAUAUGCCUUGUUUGCAGGUUUUAAAAUUUGGAGAUGUCCGAUUUGCUACUGUUGUGAUGCCCGUUUUUCUAGAAAUUUACGGACUCUUGUCUAGUUACUUUGCAACUCUGUUGCAUGCUCUUCCUAAUCGACUUAGCAUAUUUAAUUGUAUACUAAAUUAUGUAUCAUAUGCAAAAAAAAAUUGUUUUGCAAGCUGAAUUAUGAUUUUCUAUUUUGCGUAGACUUUCAAAUGUGAAUUAGAUUAAUGAAUUUGGAUUAGGCUUAUUAACAACUCAUUGUGUUACUUGUCGCUCGUUGUGUUAUUUUAAAAACUUUAACAAAUGUUAUCUGGUAUACUUGUGUUACAUAUUAAUGAUCUAUUAUAUUUAUGUUCUUAGUGCUUUUAUUUAUAACUAUAUUAUUUUUUUCUUUUCUUGCUAAGUACUAUGGACUUAGAAUCUUAUGCAUAUCACUUACCUAAUGAACUAAGACUAACUACUUAAGCCAUGAGGCUAUCUUGUUUGAUAAGAAAAAAACAAUUUUUAUAUAAAUCAUUUUUGUGACUAAAAACCAAUCAUCCUUUUUAUUUCUUUUGCAACCUCAAUUUCUCUAUUUAUUUUAAUUUUGGUUUGACUUUAAUGGUGUUUAUUCUAUACUGUAGGCUAAAACUCUACUUGGAUAUUUAAGAGAACCGAUACAAUUAUAUAAGAUAACCAAGGCAACAAGAAAUUCUUCAAGUUGGGUAUUAUUUUCUUUCUUGCUUGUAAGAAUUAUGUACAGUGAGGAUUUGAUGUAUUAUUUACAUUGAGAAUAAUGAAUUUUUAUUGAGAAUUAUAAUAAAUUUUUAUUGAGAAUUAUUUAGUCUCAUGGGGAUUUGAUGUAUUAUUUACA